AAAAAAAGAGAGAGAGAGAAAAAAAAAAAAAGGCUAAUUUAAUUUGGGAAGAAAAGGAUACAACUUGACAACAUUUAUGUACAUUUUACAUUUGUGGUAAAAGCAGGAUGACCAAGAUAAAAACUGUCAUGAGAAAAUGUCUUCCUUCCCAAGGCUGCAAAUGCCCCCCCCUUCCCUGCGCUAGCCCAACUCCAUAGGCAGUGGCCAAGCAGAAGAAUCACUGAAGGCAGCUCUGCUCAGUCUGUGCUGAGUAAUAUUUCUCUAAUGAGGAAAGUAACAUCAUUUAGUGUAUUUGAGGUUGGGAAAAUUUUCUGUCCCUAUUCUUGAUAUAUUAAUUAAAUACUUGUCAUGUUUAUCCACUUGGAGAAAAGACACAGGGCACUUCCAGAUUUACUUUAAUGGGCUACAUAUGGGUUUUCAGAGCACUAAUAAAGGACGAUUUACUGGAGCCUGAUACUAUGUGGCAGAGGACAACUUGAGUCAGAAGGAGUCAAAAUGGAGCAGCCAGGGUGGUAAGGGACAUCCUAGUUGAAAGCAGAGAUGACAGCGGUGGAAUUCCAAAGCUUCAGCAAAGCCUGCUUCCAUAUGGUGCCUCAGGACACACAAACACAUCGAUACGGGAAGAUAAAACCUCCUGACAUUACAAAGCCAUUUGGUCAGAAGACCUGCUGGCUGACUGCUGAUGUUGGACGCUCACCCACUGUGGGCACAAAUACUAGGACUAUGAAGACAUCUGUGUGCACUGUGUCCCUGUCUGUGUAUCCCAUGUAGCUGAGCCCCUGCUUGGUGAGUUACGGUCUCCUGGGGCCCUGAAAACCACAGGAGGAGCAGGAUGGAGUCAUGGUGGCCAUCCAUCUCCAUUGCUCCCUUCUUUGCAGAUGGACUUCUCUGGUAGUAGCUGUGCACUGGACUUUCUGCCCUGUGUUCGCAGGGGAGAUGUCUGCCCUCUACACAGCUCCAGGCCAGGGUAGGGCAAAAAUGAGAUCACAAGGGCUUCAGAAAUCCCUGAGAAGAUAAAAAGAAGUACACUAUUUCAACCAAAUACAAAUAUUUAAUUAAUUGAACAAAGUUGUUAUUUAAGAGCAUUGAAGGGAGCUAUCUAGGGAGCUAUUGAUCUUGCACACUUCUUUCAAAACUCUUCUGUAAAAAAAAAAAAAAAAAAAAAAAAAAGGUUCAAAGGAGGUCCCCUUUUUCCUGUCAUCUGGUUAUGAUUCGCCUAAA
rnacentral:lncRNA from 1 species